UACGGAGGAUCCGAGCGUUAUCCGGAUUUAUUGGGUUUAAAGGGUGCGCAGGCGGAAUAUUAAGUCGGCGGUGAAAGUUUGCAGCUUAACUGUAAAAUUGCCGUUGAUACUGGUAUUCUUGAGUGUAUGUGAAGUAGGCGGAAUUUGUAGUGUAGCGGUGAAAUGCAUAGAUAUUACGAGGAACUCCGAUUGCGCAGGCAGCUUACUAAACUACUACUGACGCUCAGGCACGAAGGCGUGGGGAUCAAACAGGAUUAGAUACCCUGGUA
rnacentral:rRNA from 1 species